rnacentral:rRNA from 1 species
UUCUUACUGAAAUUAUUGUAAGUAACACCUGCUCAAUGAAUUUUAAAUAGCCGCGGAAAUUUAACCGUGCUAAGGUAGCAUAAUCAUUAGUCCCUUAAUUAGGGACUUGUAUGAAUGGUGAAACAAUUUAAUUACUUUAUUAAGUAAUAUUUAUCAAAUUUAAAUUAAGAAUAAAAAUGUUCUUAUUAAAAAAUUAGACGACAAGACCCUUUUGAACUUUACUUAUGUUUAGCUGGGGCAGCUAAAAAAUAAUAAUCUUUUUUAUUUUAUUUUAAUAAAUGAUCCUUUAAAAUUGAACAUAUGAACAAGUUACCAUAGGGAUAACAGCGCAAUAUUUUUUUAAAGCUCUUAUAAAAAAAAAUAAUUACGACCUCGAUGUUGAAUUAGUGUAACUUUAUAGAUGCAAUAAUUUUAAAAGUAGGUCUGUUCGACCAUUAAAACACUACAU